UAACUGGGUAAUACCUGAUACCCCUUUUUAGUCGUAAACGACAUCCAAAUGGGCACACUCUCUCGAUCCCUCGCAGCUCUCACUCUCUCCCAAUCCCUCAAAACCAAUGCUGAAUUCAGAUCAAUUCACGUAAUGAUCUCAUUUACCCUUGCAUGGAGGGUAACAACUCUCUCUCCCAAAUAGUGGUCUCCUCUUCCUCUUUCACAGCAGCCGAACUUCACGUGGGACUAGCUCAGAAAGAUUGAUAUCGCCCUACCAACCAGCUCAAUCGCAGUGGUGCUAGUUCAAGUUCUUGAACUUCAGGAAGAAUGGAUAAAGCUUGGUUGGAGAGACCACUUUGUCACUGUGGGAUUCCAUCAAAGCUACUGAUUUCUGCGAAAGAUACUAGUUUUGGCAGACGGUUUUCAAUUGUCCAAAGUAUAAGAUGGACAAACAAUGCAGAUUUUUUCAAUGGCUUGAUUUUGAUAUGGACAGAACAGUUGUUGCAAAAUGACAUUGGAGUUAGCUCAAAGAAGAAAUGACUGGAUCAAUCAAGAACGUAGGUUCAUUGAAGCAAAAUACAAAGUUAUGGAAAAGAAGUACAAGGAAACAUUAAAAGUUUUAUUCUUGUCAUGGUUUUGUAUUGUUUUGCUUUGUGCUGUAAUUGUUUUAACUUUUGAAUGAUAAUCAUGUACUAAGGACAGUUGGUUUAUUGUACUUCUUAUUGGAGAUGUAUUUUAAGAUAUGUUAAUCAAUUAAAAUCUUCAAUAUCAUGGAUUCAUAUUGA